AGAGUUUGAUCCUGGCUCAGAACGAACGCUGGCGGCGUGGAUAAGACAUGCAAGUCGAACGGGUUUAGUUUUGUAGCAAUACAGAGCUGAGCUAGUGGCGAACGGGUGCGUAACACGUGAGCAAUCUGCCUUAAAGUGGGGGAUAGCUCGCCGAAAGGCGAAUUAAUACCGCAUGUGGUUGCAAAACCAAAGCCGGGGCA
rnacentral:rRNA from 1 species